rnacentral:ncRNA from 19 species
CAAAUAGCGGACAGACAAGGUGCCUUUGCGGUUGAGCAAAGGGUAACAGGGAAUCGGGUGCAAGUCCCGAGCGGUCCCGCCACUGUAAGGAAGAGGAUUCUUUUAAAUGGUCACUCGUACAAAACGGGGAAGACGAAAGAAUCCGUUGAUGCCAAGCCAGGAGACCUACCUUGAUCUGUAUGCACCGU